UGGGAAUUUUGGACAAUGGGCGAAAGCCUGAUCCAGCAAUGCCGCGUGUGUGAAGAAGGCCUUCGGGUUGUAAAGCACUUUUGUCCGGAAAGAAAUCCUUGGCUCUAAUACAGUCGGGGGAUGACGGUACCGGAAGAAUAAGCACCGGCUAACUACGUGCCAGCAGCCGCGGUAAUACGUAGGGUGCAAGCGUUAAUCGGAAUUACUGGGCGUAAAGCGUGCGCAGGCGGUUUGCUAAGACCGAUGUGAAAUCCCCGGGCUCAACCUGGGAACUGCAUUGGUGACUGGCAGGCUAGAGUAUGGCAGAGGGGGGUAGAAUUCCACGUGUAGCAGUGAAAUGCGUAGAGAUGUGGAGGAAUACCGAUGGCGAAGGCAGCCCCCUGGGCAAUACUGACGCUCAUGCACGAAAGCGUGGGGAGCAAACAGGAUUAGAUACCCCUGGUAGUCCACGCCCUAAACGAUGUCAACUAGUUGUUGGGGAUUCAUUUCCUUAGUAACGUAGCUAACGCGUGAAGUUGACCGCCUGGGGAGUACGGUCGCAAGAUUAAAACUUAAAUGAAUUGACGGGGUCAUAGCUGUUUCCU
rnacentral:rRNA from 1 species